rnacentral:lncRNA from 1 species
ACGGGAGAGGGUAGGAGGCGCUCGAGGAGCUUGAGCUUGGGGAGGAGAUUGGAGGGGACGUUGGUGGUGAGGACAGUAGGGCGGCGGCGGACGAAGGAGUGGAGCUGGCGGGGGGAGAGGCCGGCGUGGCGGUGGAGGAAGGCGAGGACGGCGUCAGGCUUGUCGGGGGUGGUGAUGUGGAGGAGGGAUUUGGAGGCGACGAGGGCCUUAUCCUUGGA